UUUGAAUAAGUAGCAACUUUGUUUGACAAGUCCAAAAAAAUAAUAUUCCAAAAGUAUUUGGUAGGAACUUUCUUUGACAAAGUAAGUGUGAAUCAAAGAAUAAACAAAAUCCACAUUAAAUCUCCACUUUGGCCUGAGUUUGGUUAAUAUAUUAAACUUGAUUCCUCUCCGCAAAAGCCCGUGUGGGCAAAAUCAUUCUUCACAAACGGCAAUCAAGCUCAAGCAAAGCUUGAACUUACUGACCGGAAGAGACUUUGUGAACAUGUCUGCAGGAUUGUCUCUAGUGUUGAUCUUCUGAACAGAGACCUUUCCUUCAAUAAUAGAUUCCUGAAUAAAAUGAUACUUGAUGUCAAUAUGCUUCGUCCUCUCAUGAUACAUUUGAUCUUUAGUCAAAUGGAUGGCACUCUGACUAUCACAGAAAAUGAUAAUUCCACCUUGGUGUGGACUGAGUUCAGCAAAUAGACCCUUCAACCAUAAGGCUUCUUUGAUAGCCUCGGUCACU
rnacentral:lncRNA from 1 species